CUAUCUGCAGUCGAACGCUUCUUUUYCCACCGGAAGCUUSCUCCAGCSGAGUGGCGAACGGGUGAGUAACACGUGGGUAACCUGCCCAUCAGAAGGGGAUAACACUUGGAAACAGGUGCUAAUACCGUAUAACAAUCGAAACCGCAUGGUUUCGUUUUGAAAGGCGCUUUACGGUGCCGCUGAUGGAUGGACCCGCGGUGCAUUAGCUAGUUGGUGAGGUAACGGCUCACCAAGGCCACGAUGCAUAGCCGACCUGAGAGGGUGAUCGGCCACAUUGGGACUGAGACACGGCCCAAACUCCUACGGGAGGCAGCAGUAGGGAAUCUUCGGCAAUGGACGAAAGUCUGACCGAGCAACGCCGCGUGAGUGAAGAAGGUUUUCGGAUCGUAAAACUCUGUUGUUAGAGAAGAACAAGGGUGAGAGUAACUGUUCACCCCUUGACGGUAUCUAACCAGAAAGCCACGGCUAACUACGUGCCAGCAGCCGCGGUAAUACGUAGGUGGCAAGCGUUGUCCGGAUUUAUUGGGCGUAAAGCGAGCGCAGGCGGUUUCUUAAGUCUGAUGUGAAAGCCCCCGGCUCAACCGGGGAGGGUCAUUGGAAACUGGGAGACUUGAGUGCAGAAGAGGAGAGUGGAAUUCCAUGUGUAGCGGUGAAAUGCGUAGAUAUAUGGAGGAACACCAGUGGCGAAGGCGGCUCUCUGGUCUGUAACUGACGCUGAGGCUCGAAAGCGUGGGGAGCAAACAGGAUUAGAUACCCUGGUAGUCCACGCCGUAAACGAUGAGUGCUAAGUGUUGGAGGGUUUCCGCCCUUCAGUGCUGCAGCUAACGCAUUAAGCACUCCGCCUGGGGAGUACGACCGCAAGGUUGAAACUCAAAGGAAUUGACGGGGGCCCGCACAAGCGGUGGAGCAUGUGGUUUAAUUCGAAGCAACGCGAAGAACCUUACCAGGUCUUGACAUCCUUUGACCACUCUAGAGAUAGAGCUUCCCCUUCGGGGGCAAAGUGACAGGUGGUGCAUGGUUGUCGUCAGCUCGUGUCGUGAGAUGUUGGGUUAAGUCCCGCAACGAGCGCAACCCUUAUUGUUAGUUGCCAUCAUUUAGUUGGGCACUCUAGCAAGACUGCCGGUGACAAACCGGAGGAAGGUGGGGAUGACGUCAAAUCAUCAUGCCCCUUAUGACCUGGGCUACACACGUGCUACAAUGGGAAGUACAACGAGUCGCNAAGUCGCGAGGCUAAGCUAAUCUCUUAAAGCUUCUCUCAGUUCGGAUUGUAGGCUGCAACUCGCCUACAUGAAGCCGGAAUCGCUAGUAAUCGCGGAUCAGCACGCCGCGGUGAAUACGUUCCCGGGCCUUGUACACACCGCCCGUCACACCACGAGAGUUUGUAACACCCGAAGUCGGUGAGGUAACCUUUUUGGAGCCAGCCGCCUAAGGUGGGAUAGAUGAUUGGGGUGA
rnacentral:rRNA from 1 species